GUGCGCCUGUGAGCCGCGCGCCUGUGUGCGCGUGACGGAGGAGUCAUGCGUCUGCAGCGACACCUGCGCCUUACGGUCUGCGCGGUGCGGUGGAGUUUCCCAGACAGCCGCGAGAUGGAGCAGCCUGCCCCUUCCUGAGCCGUUCCCGUCCCCCCACGCUGGCUUCGCGCGGUAGCUUUAUUGGCCGUGUCUCAGACGGCGCGAACAGCUGAUCGAUACUUUUGCCCAUCUCUGUCGCGGGCGGUACUUGUUCGUUGCGUACGAUAUAUGUGUUAUCUUUUUGUGUUGUGUUUCGCGGGAUGAGUUUAUACGGGGAUAUUUUUCUGUUAUUCCGCAUGUUAUUUGUUUUACGGAUGAGUAUGGCAUGCUCAUGUGUUAAUGUUUAUGUCCGCGUGUCUGCAGUACUUGCGGGUUCCCGUGACUGGCGGGCUCUAAGUCAGCCGCCAUACUCAGUCCUUUUCAUGGUGUACUCCGUCGAGAAUGGAGGCAUGGCGCCUGAGUGGACGAAAUCGUUGAAACCGCUAGAUGCAUCGUUGUUUACCGUGCCUACCUGCGCUAGUGCCAGUUUGAGUUGCCACGCUGCUUCAUAUGCUGCACCUACGCAUCAGUAUUCGCUAGUCGACCGCAUCGUGACGAAUACAAGCAACGCUCUGGC
rnacentral:lncRNA from 1 species